rnacentral:rRNA from 1 species
UACGAAGGGGGCUAGCGUUGCUCGGAAUCACUGGGCGUAAAGCGCACGUAGGCGGAUUGUUAAGUCAGGGGUGAAAUCCCGGGGCUCAACCCCGGAACUGCCUUUGAUACUGGCAUUCUCGAGUCCGGAAGAGGUGAGUGGAAUUCCGAGUGUAGAGGUGAAAUUCGUAGAUAUUCGGAGGAACACCAGUGGCGAAGGCGGCUCACUGGUCCGGAACUGACGCUGAGGUGCGAAAGCGUGGGGAGCAAACAGG